CCCAAAAUGCACCAUGGCCGCCCCUCUCAUUAAGGGUAGUAUAGUCAUUUUGUCUUCUUUUAUAAUGUACUAUAAAUAGAACCUUUUAGCACUUAUUUCCUUAGUUUUUUAUGGAUGUAAGACUUGAAACAUGGUAGCACCUUUAGUUAUAUAAAAGACUUGAAACAUGGUAGCACCUUUAGUUAUAGGGCUUGGAAUAGCCACCAAACCGAAACGAGGGCAACAAGUGUGAUAUCACUUGUGUUGCAAUGUUGGCUUGAUACGUUAGUGUUUAGAGGAGGUAAAGUCAUGUCAAAC
rnacentral:lncRNA from 1 species